GACGAACGCUGGCGGCGUGCUUAACACAUGCAAGUCGAGCGAUGAAGUUCCUUCGGGGACGGAUUAGCGGCGGACGGGUGAGUAACACGUGGGUAACCUGCCUCAUAGAGGGGAAUAGCCUUCCGAAAGGAAGAUUAAUACCGCAUAAGAUUGCAGUAUCGCAUGAUACAGCAAUUAAAGGAGCAAUCCGCUAUGAGAUGGACCCGCGUCGCAUUAGCUAGUUGGUGAGGUAACGGCUCACCAAGGCGACGAUGCGUAGCCGACCUGAGAGGGUGAUCGGCCACAUUGGGACUGAGACACGGCCCAGACACCUACGGGUGCAG
rnacentral:rRNA from 1 species